rnacentral:ribozyme from 14 species
GCCAGCAAAAUAGCCAGCCCCAAAAACGGAUAGCCAGACAAAAUAGCCAGCCCAAAAAUCGAACAGCCAGCAGUUUUCCACGUGAUGAUGAAAUUUCCCAUAUUUUUUCUGCUGUUUCUUUUUCUUCUUCUUCUCUCUUUCUCCCUCUUUCUUCUCUAUCUUUUGUCUGUAACUGCUUACAAUACAAAAGCCCCUCGAUCAAAAGAA